rnacentral:rRNA from 1 species
UACGGGGGGGGGCAAGCGUUGUUCGGAAUUACUGGGCGUAAAGGGCUCGUAGGCGGCCAACUAAGUCAGACGUGAAAAUCCCUCGGCUUAACCGGGGAACUGCGUCUGAUACUGGAUGGCUUGAGAUUGGGAGAGGGAUGCGGAAUUCCAGGUGUAGCGGUGAAAUGCGUAGAUAUCUGGAGGAACACCGGUGGCGAAGGCGGCAUCCUGGACCAACACUGACGCUGAGGAGCGAAAGCCAGGGGGAGCAAACGGG